GACGAACGCUGGCGGCGUGCUUAACACAUGCAAGUCGAACGAAGUGGCGAACGGGUGAGUAACGCGUAAUCAACCUGCCCUUCAGAGGGGGACAACAGUUGGAAACGACUGCUAAUACCGCAUACUGAAGGAGGGGUUUGCGUCUGAUUAGCUAGUUGGGGGGGUAAUGGCCCACCAAGGCGAUGGUCCGUCGCCGGGCUGGGAGGAAGAACGGGCACAUUUGGACGUGGAAACGGCCCAGACUUCCACGGGAGGCAGCAGUGGGGAAUCUUCCGCAAUGGGCGGAAGUCUGACGGAGCAACGCCGCGUGAGUGAUGACGGCCUUCGGGUUGUAAAGCUCUGUUAAUCGGGACGCGGUACCGGAAUAGAAAGCCACGGCUAACUACGUGCCAGCCGCCGCGGUAAUUC
rnacentral:rRNA from 1 species